rnacentral:rRNA from 1 species
GACGAACGCUGGCGGCGUGCCUAAUACAUGCAAGUCGAGCGGACCUCUUCGGAGGUCAGCGGCGGACGGGUGAGUAACACGUGGGCAACCUGCCUGUAAGACUGGGAUAACACCGGGAAACCGGUGCUAAUACCGGAUAAUCCUUUUCCUCACAUGAGGGGAAGCUGAAAGACGGUUUCGGCUGUCACUUACAGAUGGGCCCGCGGCGCAUUAGCUAGUUGGUGGGGUAACGGCCCACCAAGGCGACGAUGCGUAGCCGACCUGAGAGGGUGAUCGGCAAACCGGGGACGGAGACACGGCCCAGACUCCUACGGGAGGCAGCAGUAGGGAAUCUUCCGCAAUGGACGAAAGUCUGACGGAGCAACGCCGCGUGAGCGAAGAAGGCCUUCGGGUCGUAAAGCUCUGUUGUCAGGGAAGAACACGUACCGGAGUAACUGCCGGCACCUUGACGGUACCUGACCAGAAAGCCACGGCUAACUACGUGCCAGCCGCCGCCGUAAAAC